UGUCACCAUCACCAUUAUCAUCAGCAUCUUCAUUAAUGUACUCUUUGGUUCCUUUUGUUGUUACUGAAAUAAGAUUUAAUUACUUUUUGCAAUUAGGCAUUUGUUAUAUGUUACAGGACUGCUCUUAUGUGCAGAAUGAAGUAGUUUAUUUUUUUUGAUAAAUCGCAGAAUGAAGCAGUUAUGUGCAUACAGGUAGAGACCAGGUGUAGCAGAACAAGAUGGAGAACAUUCAGUAUGCUGAGGAACUUGUGAGGGAGUUUCUUGUCUUCAGAGGAUUUACUAAUACUCUGCAAACUUUUGAGAGUGAAUUAGGCACAGAUAUUGGUAAAGGGUUUCAAGUGGAUAAGAUUUUAGACUUAAAUCUUCUCAGUAUACGUACCCAAAUUUCAGGCAGAAAAAGUAGUUGGUCUCUUGAGCUUUUUCAAGUAGUACUUUUCUUCAGCAUCUGAAACUGUACUUAUUGCUACUUUGUCUAAAUUGGAGGUCUCAAUUCUGCGAUACUAUAUUGCUCAUGCCAUACAAUCAGGGAGGAGGGACAAAGUUGUAGAUUUGUUCGAGAUGAAUGGCAAUGAAUUUUUGCAGAGGGGCAAGGACUGGACUGCAUGGUUUGCCAUUCCAUAUAUAAAGAACCCAAACCUGGAUCCUGAAUUUCAUAUUUAUUUCUCAAAGGAAUGGUAUGAGGCCUUACGUCUUUCUGUGAGGAACUUCUUUAGUGAGAUCUUCAAUGGAACUCGCCUCCCUGCCCUAUUAAAGAUCAGUGCAGAGAAGAAUACCGCCAACCGUCUCAGAAAGGAUAUAAAGCAACUCAAUAUUAAGUUGUCACAACUUCAAGCUUUACUGGAGGAAAAAGAAGCUCAAUUAGGUCGGUUAAAGUGUAAUGCUUCAUCACUACCGGAUGCAAGCACAGGACGAACCAAAAGUUCAUCAAGUUUUAUGCAUGAAGAAGAUCCUAUUAUAUACAGGGAGAUACAUGAAGCCUGUGCUCCUGCUACUCCACAAUUAGCUGAAACAGUGCUGGAUCAAGAUUUUGUUACUGGGCCUUCUCAAGUUCAAUCUGAGCUUACCAUGUCCAAGUUGUUUCAUGAUUCAUCCACUUCAUCAAAUCUUGAUAUGAGAGAUGGUAGAACUGGUGAUUCCAGUCAAAUGUGGCAAGAUGGCCCCUGUAUUGAAAAUGGCAGGGAAGUUCACAUAGAAGAAGAAUUUCCAGAAGUUAAAGUAGACUUUCAGGAAACAUUUUUGGGUCACACAAGUCCAAUCAGUCGGUGCCGCUUUUCUGCAUCAGGGAACAAUAUAGCCAGUGCUUCUAUAGAUGGUACAGUAAGGAUAUGGACGUAUGACUCUUCAACUCUUCAACUCCGGCAUCAAGAAAUGCGACCAUUUAUUGUGGGGCAGAGAUCAUGUCACUUGACUGGGAGUGUAAAUCUGACCGCUUGCUUCUCAUAGGCACAGCUGAUGGAGGCAUUAAAGCAUGGAAUGUUGAUGCAAAGAGAGUUGUCUGCGAUCUCAGCACAACUGAAGCAUUUCCAAGUGUCUUGGAUCUAAAGUGCAGCCCUGUAGAACCAAUUUUUGUUUCUGCGGCAGCCUCCAAAGGGAAUGGCUCAAGCUAUAACGACAAUUUAGGGUUCGCUUCCUUAACUGUCUGGAGCAUGAAAACCUGGGAGGCUGUGACAGUCCUUCCUCUUGGUAAAGAUCCACCUGCAAUAACUUCUUUAUGCUUCAAUCACAAUGGGAAGAUUUUAGCAGCUUCUGCUACUGAUGGAAUGAUUCACAUGUUUGACAUGGCUGCUGGUCUACAAAUUACUGGGUGGCCUGCACAUGAUUCCGCGAUAAGCUCUCUUCUUUUUGGGCCUGAUGAGACAACCAUUUUUAGCUUGGGGUCAGAUGGAAAGAUAUUUGAAUGGAGCUUGCAAAACCAAGGUCAAUUCCUAUGGUCAAGAAACUGUAGUAGGUUCUGUGACGCUGAGAGCUCAAAACUUUGCAGACAUGAAAUGGCGUUAGAUGCUAAUGGGAGGAGGCUACUGGUGACAUCUGUUUCAGUAAGAGCACCUAUAUAUCAGGUUCGUGGUCAAAGAAAUGGUUUGAGAACUCUUCCACACACUGCUGCUAUAACAACGGUUGAUUGGCACCCAACUUUGCCCAUCUUCUUGACUGGAUCAGCUGAUAACUCAGUUCGAGUAACGUCUAUCCUAUGAAAGGCUUCUCACUUCUAUAUCUCUCUUUUAUCCUUGGUCAGUUGGAAUGAAGUUUACUCGGUUGGUUUAAUAUGAGUUUCACGUUGGCGUGCAUCUGAGCUUUGGGUUGUAUGGAUGUUGUUAUUUAAUUGUGCAUUGCACAGGGUAUUUAUAGUUUACUAGCCAUUCAUUGAUGUUGUUAUUUAAUAAUCCAUUUGAUUUAUAUAUGCUGAAGUAUGUGUGUGCGUGUGAGAGAGGGUGCUGUUCUUUCCUAA